rnacentral:rRNA from 1 species
GCAGCAGUGGGGAAUAUUGCACAUGGGGGAAACCCUGAUGCAGCCAUGCCGCGUGUGUGAAGAAGGCCUUCGGGUUGUAAAGCACUUUCAGCGAGGAGGAAAGGGUGUAAGUUAAUACCUUACAUCUGUGACGUUACUCGCAGAAGAAGCACCGGCUAACUCCGUGCCAGCAGCCGCGGUAAUACGGAGGGUGCGAGCGUUAAUCGGAAUUACUGGGCGUAAAGCGUGCGCAGGCGGUUUGUUAAGCGAGAUGUGAAAGCCCCGGGCUCAACCUGGGAACCGCAUUUCGAACUGGCAAACUAGAGUCUUGUAGAGGGGGGUAGAAUUCCAGGUGUAGCGGUGAAAUGCGUAGAGAUCUGGAGGAAUACCGGUGGCGAAGGCGGCCCCCCUGGACAAAGACUGACGCUCAGGCACGAAAGCGUGGGGAGCAAACAGGAUUAGAUACCCUGGUAGUCCACGCCGUAAACGAUGUCUACUCGGAGUUUGGUGUCUUGAACACUGGGCUCUCAAGCUAACGCAUUAAGUAGACCGCCUGGGGAGUACGGCCGCAAGGUUAAAACUCAAAUGAAUUGACGGGGGCCCGCACAAGCGGUGGAGCAUGUGGUUUAAUUCGAUGCAACGCGAAGAACCUUACCUACUCUUGACAUCCAGAGAACUUUCCAGAGAUGGAUUGGUGCCUUCGGGAACUCUGAGACAGGUGCUGCAUGGCUGUCGUCAGCUCGUGUUGUGAAAUGUUGGGUUAAGUC